rnacentral:rRNA from 1 species
GAUGAACGCUGGCGGCGUGCCUAAUACAUGCAAGUCGAGCGAACAGACGAGGAGCUUGCUCCUCUGACGUUAGCGGCGGACGGGUGAGUAACACGUGGAUAACCUACCUAUAAGACUGGGAUAACUUCGGGAAACCGGAGCUAAUACCGGAUAAUAUAUUGAACCGCAUGGUUCAAUAGUGAAAGACGGUUUUGCUGUCACUUAUAGAUGGAUCCGCGCCGCAUUAGCUAGUUGGUAAGGUAACGGCUUACCAAGGCGACGAUGCGUAGCCGACCUGAGAGGGUGAUCGGCCACACUGGAACUGAGACACGGUCCAGACGCCUACGGGAGGCAGCAGUAGGGAAGCUUCCGCAAUGGGCGAAAGCUUGACGGAGCAACGCCGCGUGAGUGAUGAAGGUCUUCGGAUCGUAAAACUCUGUUAUUAGGGAAGAACAAAUGUGUAAGUAACUAUGCACGUCUUGACGGUACCUAAUCAGAAAGCCACGGCUAACUACGUG